GCACUAGAUAUGGACUGUUGACCGGUUCCGUGUCAAAGUAACGCAUUAAGUGCUCCGCCUGGGAGUACGGUCGCAAGACUUAAACUCAAAGAAUUGACGGGGGCCGCCCAAGCGGUGGAUUAUGUGGUUUAAUUCGAAGCAACGCGCAGACCCUUACCUGGGCUUGAACUCCUAGGAACCUUGCCCAAAAGCGAGGGUGCCCUUCGGGGAAUCUAGUGAGAGGCGCUGCAUGGCUGUCGUCAGCUCGUGUCAUGAGAUGUUGGGUUAAGUCUCGCAACGAGCGCAACCCCUAUCCUUAGUUGCCAGCAUUAAGUUGGGCACUCUAGAGAGACUGCCUGGGCUAACCAGGAGGAAGGUGGGGAUGACGUCAAGUCCUCAUGGCCCUUAUGUCCAGGGCUACACACGUAAUACAAUGGUGCAUACAGAGGGACGCGACCCUGCGAAGGUGAGCAAAUCUCAAAAAGUGCAUCUCAGUCCGGAUUGGAGUCUGCAACUCGACUCCAUGAAGUUGGAAUCGCUAGUAAUCGUGGAUCAGCACGCCACGGUGAAUACGUUCCCGGGCCUUGUACACACCGCCCGUCACACCAUGGGAGUUGAUCUUACCUGAAGCCGUGACCCUAACUUCGGAAGGGAGCGUCUACGGUCGGAUCGAUGACUGGGGUGAAGUCGUAACAAGGUAGC
rnacentral:rRNA from 1 species